UGAAGAAGGGAAGAAAUGUGAAGACCUGGUUUGGGAGAAAUGGACUGUGGUCACCACGGUUGCAGAGAAGGUUACAGAGAAAAUGAACCCCCAUGGCAACUGACAUAGAAUGUGGGAGGGGCCAAAUUUCAUGAGUUCUUGCAACCAGUGGGGCUUACAACCUGGAGUAGGCUUGGCUCAGGGAGAGCCCAGGGUGUUGGGGCUGCUCUUGUAGAGAAGACCAGGCAAACAGUCUGCAGACCUACAGUGUGGAAACAGUGAUCUGUUAUUUGCACAUCUCAGAGUGUGUCUCAGGGAGGCAGCAUUCACAGAGACUCCUCCAAGAACAAAGGAAUUGACAGGAAAGGCCAUGUGAGAACACAGUGAGAUGUCAGCUGACUGCAAGCCAGGAAGAGAGACCUCACAAGAAACCCACUAUACUGGCACCUUGAUCUUGAACCUCUUAUUAUGGCAGUCUGAUCAUACUAAUACGGAGACUUUGAGCCAUAACCAUACAGUCAAGCUCUCCCCAAAUUCCUGACCCACAAAAAAACUGAAAGACAUGGGACAGCAGGACUAUUCUUACUACAACGUAUCCUCAAAACCAACAUUAAAUACAACUGGACAACAAAAGUCAUUAAUAUUGAUUGAGUCUGAAUGAAAAGGUGUGCAAUUGGCUCAAAAGAUUUAUGAGAGAUACAUAAGAGAGAGAGGCAGAGACAGGCAGAGAGAGAAGCAGGCUCCGUGCAUGAAGCCAGAUGUGGGACUUGAUCUCAGGACUCCAGGAUCACACCCUGAGCUAAAGGCAGAUGCUUAACUGCUAGCCACCCAGGCAUCCCCUGAACAGUUUUCCAAAGUGGUUACACAAUUUUAUACUGAGACCAGCAACAUACGUUCCAAUUGUUCCUAUGCUUGCCAAGACUUCAUAUUAUCAGUCUUUUAAAUUUUAACCAUGAAGUAGAUACGUAGUAGUAUUUCAUUGUGGAUUAUUCUCAUUUUAAAAAUGAAAAACUCAAUUCAGAGCAACUACAUCGCUUAUCUAUGAUUACAUUUAUGGUAUUAGCUAUGACCCCUAAUCUUAGUGUCUUGAUUCUAUAUUCAUUGUUGUACUUUUUCUGUUACACUAUGCUAGUGUUCUUCCUUCCUUCCUCUUUUUUCUUUGCUCUUUUCUUAUUUCAGUAAUUUUGGUUAUGAAAAAUUUCAAACAGAGAAAAGCACAGAGGAAUAUAUAUAAUUUGGAUUUAACAAUUGUUUACACUUCACCAUAUUUAUGUAUAUUUUACUAAAAACUUAAAAUUACAUACUUCAUGACAU